GGGCCCGCACAAGCGGCGGAGCAUGUUGCUUAAUUCGAGGCAACGCGUAGAACCUUACCUGGACUUGACAUAUAGGGUCAAGCUAUAGAGAUAUAGUGUGCAUUAGCGCCCUAUACAGGUGGUGCAUGGCUGUCGUCAGCUCGUGUCGUGAGAUGUUGGGUUAAGUCCCGCAACGAGCGCAACCCCCUGUCCUAUGUUGCCAGCAUUUAGUUGGGGACUCAUAGGAGACUGCCGUGAUAAACCGGAGGAAGGUGGGACGACGUCAAGUCAUCAUGCCCCUUAUGUCCAGGGCUGCACGCAUGCUACAAUGGCAAGUACAACGAGUCGCAAUACCGCGAGGUGGGAGCAAAUCUCUUAAAGCUUGUCUC
rnacentral:rRNA from 1 species